UAUAAAUUGCAUUAACAUAUUUAUUUUGGUAAACUCAUUUUUUGGUAGCUGUUGGUGCUCAAGUCGACGGUUCACUCUCUUCGUGGUUAGUUGGGGUUCCUCCCGCCGUGGGUUCCUCCUCCCCGUCUUGGGUCGGAGUGUACAUAGUCUUUUGAUAUUUCUUCUCUGGUUGAAGUUCUCUUCCUCAUCGUCCUACACCCCAAUGGUUGCAUGUUGCUUUUAGUUCCAGGAAGGUUCAGAUCUAGUCCAAAACCAAGUAUUUCUAAGGUCUUUCGCCAAUCCUUGUCUCUGGAUGGCCGACCUUCAAGAUGUGUUAGAGCGAUCGUGAGCACUGCUUGGUUUCCUUCCUUGGAGCAUCGACGAUGAGCGGCUUGGUGACUGCUCUAGUGUCAUGCCCCGUUCGCACAUCUGAAGUAUUGUUUCAGUGGAGACCCCUCCGUUCCUCAGUAUACAUUGUAGCCAUUUUGGCUCUGGAGAUGGAUGUUUUCAUUUUUUCUGUGGCUUUACAGCCCCCUCAACCAUUGGGGUGUUAGCGUUGUUGGUUGGAGCAUUGUUCUCUAGAGCAGUGAUGCUUUAUCAGUGCUUAAAGGCUCUUUGUUGUUGAUGUCCCCUACCGGAGCUGAGCGGGGACAGUGUUGUUUCCGCUGUACCAGUAACUAGGGUUCCCAAAUUUGGGAUCUUGGGCUGGAUAUUUUGUAUUGGGCCUUUAAUUCUUUUUUCUUGAUUAGCUAAUUCAGAUCUUAAAAAUUAUUUUAA